CUGAUGGAGCUGCCAGAUGUCAUCUGCAAAUUUGAUGAGUCCGCCUUCUAUUCCCUCACCUAAGUCAUUUACGAAGAUAUUGAAGAGCCCUGGGCCUAAGAUGGAAUCUUGUGGUACCCCACUGCUUACUUCCCU